GAGUGGACUAGGCCGGGAAGGUAGGCCAUUCCUGUUACCUGAAGUGGUCUUUAGGCAGGGGCCGAAGCUCGAUGGGCGAUGACGAAAUCCUGCAACUGCGCAUCGUCCCGACUGUGAACCCCCGUCCCUCUUGAUCUGCGGAAGAGGAGGUCCCUUUCGGAGGAAAGUAGACUAAUCUUCCUUAUCUUGCGAAUCCCGUCAGGUCCGGAAGGAAGCAGCGGUAGUGGGAACGUCGGAUGCUUGAGGGGUAGCGGAGGGGAGAAAGGCUUUGCUGUAAGUACAGGAGGAAGUCCCCACCAUCGGGCGGGUCAUCAA
rnacentral:SRP_RNA from 1 species